UGUCUUAAGACCUACAAUGUAGAUUCUUAUGUGAAUAAAAUAUAUUUGUUUCUGAGAAUCAUGUGUUGUUUUUAAGAAUUGUACAGAUUUUAAAUUAUUUUCUGAUCAUGAUGUCCUUGUCUUACUGAAGGACAGAAAUAAGCAUCCUUUACCUUAUUCUGGGGAUGAUGGUGUCAUCAUCUGUUUCCCAACCUAUGUGUUGUUAAAAGAGCUAAUAUGUAAUUAUGGGUUCAUUCACGUUGACCUGAGGUGAGUAGUGGAUUGACAUAGGGCUAUUUUAAACUUACCUUAUUUCUAGAUAGUCAAAUUAAAACUGUUUGUGGUAUUUAUAAUUCUUUUAAAGUAGUUUUUUCUAUUUAAGGGUCAAUAUUCUCUCGAGUUGAAGAAGACUAUCUCUGGAGGAUAAAACAACUAGGAUCCCACUCUCCAGUAGCACUUUUGAACACCCUAUUCUACUUUAACACUAAAUAUUUUGGCCUGAAAACAGUGGAACAACACUUAAGACUUUCCUUUGGCACUGUGUUUAGGCAUUGGAAAAAAAAUCCUUUAACAAUGGAAAAUAAAGCGUGUCUUCGCUAUCAGGUGUCUUCCUUGUGUGGAACAGACAAUGAAGGUAGUGUAACUUUUUAAACACAAGAUGUGUCUCUAUUUUAUAUGCUUGAAUGUAUGUGUGCAUCACACAUGGCCAGUGCUCGCUGGUAUCAUAAGAAGUGUCAGACCCCCUGGAACUGGGCUUUGAAUGGUUGUGAGCCACCAUGUAGGUGCAGGGACCUGAACUCAGGUAUUCUGCAAGAGCAAUACAUACUCUUAACCUCUGAGCCAUCACUGGCCCUGAUAGUAUAGCAGUUUUAUUUGGAGAUUGUCUAUGGUGGGAGUAUUCAAACUUUCCUUACUAAAGCAAGUCAUUCAUUAAGAGACUUUCCUAAAACACAGCAGACUGUGUAUUUGGGGGUUUGUUGUUGUUUUAGUUUUUGUUGUUUUGGUUUUCUUUGUUUCUUUUUCAGACAGGGUCUCACUAUAUUGUGUUGGCUAGUCUAGAAUUCCCUGUGUAGACUAGGGCUGCCUCAAACUCCUAGAGAUCCAUUUGCUUUUUUCAAACUGUAUUAUCUUAAAAUGUCUUAUGUCUUGUUGUGGUUCGUUUUGAGAUAAGAUUUCUAGUCCAAACUGGCCUUAAGCCAUAUAGCAAAGAAUGACCUUGAAUCUGUGGUUCCUAUUCUGAGACACAGGCAUGAACCACUAUACCUGUGUUUAAGCUGAGCUCAGGUUCAGACUGGGCCUUC
rnacentral:lncRNA from 1 species